GAUUUUGAAAUGCUUUGGAGAUGGAGAGGGGAGUGGACAGCACAUAUAAACAAGUUCAGAGAAGGAAGUAAAUAUUAGCAGAUAACUUUGAUGCUCCAAUGGGAUAAAUCAUGAAACUAAUUGCAGAGACUUGGCAUCUUAAUCUCCCAACCCUACAUUUAUGGGGAUUGAUGGAGGCAUGUACCAGAAACGAUUUGUCAAUGGCCAUAAAUGAUCUUCUCAGAAAUUGCUUGCUUGAUCAACAUAAGAUCUAUAUGCAUUGCACCCUGCAUUUAUAUAUAGAUAUGUCAAAGUUAAUAGUAUCAAGGUUAUUAAAUUCAAGAGUUCAUCUGAACUCAUAGUUUAAGUAUAUUUGAAUAGUAAAACACACCCAUAAGCUCUAUUUAGAGAUCUAAACUUGUAAAUUAGCAAGGGUAGUAUAAUGUGGAAGCUUGGUGUAAUCAAAACCAAUAUUUUUUUUUUUUUUACAUAGUAUCCCCCAACCCGACAGGUUAAUAACUAAUCAACUGUAGAUCAGAACUCUAUUUAAGGGUCUGCAGCUGGACAAGGAGUUGCUGCAUACACAAUGCAGGAUUUGAAUUCCCUGACAUAUCAAUUUGAUUUGCCAAUUUGCAUCCUACAUGUUCUUUUUCUUCUUUUUAUAUCUAUUUUUCUCACCUUGGAACUUCUGGUUUAGAAAGAAGGCCUUCCAAAGAUUAAUAUGUAUUAUUUUCUGUUUAGGUCACACAACUAGUAAUCUUAUUCACUCAAAUCUAGUUUUUCCCCUUAAUAUCUUAAUCUUAUAAUUAAAAUUUUUUGAUACCAUUAUUCAAGACAAUUUUAGCAUGCAAAUUCAAAUACUUAAUUAGCUAUCAGUUCUUUCUAAUAAGCACAUGACAUCAAUAUUAAGAUAAGGCAAUUCAAAGUGGGAAAAAGCUACAAGAGAAAAGGGACCCAAAUAUCUGAAGUUACAAUUGUGAGGGAGUUAUUACUGUGACAGAGGGUAGUUGAGGCUGAACAAUAAUGUUGCUAUGGUAGUGAAUGUGGAUUGCUUUAUUUUUUUAAGUGUCAUCACAUUGGAUAUGUGGAAUAAAUCAAAUGGUUACUUUGGUGUGUCGGUUUCAGUGAUUUGUCCAUAACCACGUGGUAUUUUAAGUUGCUUAAGUUCUUGCAUUAUACAUCAAGUAUGAUUAUGGGGACCUUAGUUGAUUGCUCAUGCAAUUUUGAGACUUGAAUAGUGAUUAAGUGAAAGCAUUUUUCAAAGUGACAACUCCAGAAUUUAAACUACAAUUGUGUCAGCAGCUAUGAACUGAUGGUUUGAAUUAUUAUAAUAAAUUUACAUUCAUUUUCAGUUUGCAAGGUUUCAAUUGUCCUUGCAGAAAAUUCAUGGGGGGUCCUAAAUGCAAUUAUUUUACUAGUAUAAAUAAAUGACAGUGUACCCAGAACAGUAGAACACAACUGGGUUCAAGCUGCCUAUAUGGGCAGGCAGAAGGUUAUUAUACUUAUUUUACACGAGAUACCAUAUCGACUUUUAUUUUAAAUAAUAAAUGAGUCGAUAUGGUCUCGUGUAAAAUAAGUACACUAAAUAUUUCUCUUGUAACAGAUGAGAAAAUUUAUUUUUGGUAAUUAUUCUAUGUAAAGAACUGGAAACUCUGCCAAUACUGCUGCUUUAAGCCUUACUCACAUCCACAGAUUCUGAAUGUUUUUGCCUUUUUGAAAAGGGUGCUUUGGUACUUUUCUCUGGGAUUUUCUGUUGAUCCUUCAAAUGUCAUAAGAUAUUUACCAUAAGAUAUUUUUUUUUA